UUUCCAUUUUCCUUCCACAACUGCAUAUUCUAUCAUAUGAAUCUGCAUGUCGAUUGAAAGAACCGGGAGGAAAUGUUAAGACUCUGCAAUGUGAUUGCACUGCUUGCAAUCUGAUAAUGAGAUAAUAUUUUUGUGGGCUUAAAUAUUUAUAGAUAUUCCAUUCUUGAUAUUUAUGAUAUCAUUAGUAAAUCUAGAAUACGAUAUUUAAAAAAAUAAACUAAAAUUAUAAUCCAAUGUUUUCUUUGUGGAAGCCAAAGUCAAAUUGACUAGCUUUACUCCAUGAAUUUACAGCUAUCGUAUCACAAGGGAAGGAAAUAGCUCAAGACAACCCUAAGAGAAGUUGGGGUUGCUGCAGUCGAGUCACCUGCAAAGAUUGACACUCCAAUGUUUGAAGUCUCCAAACAGAGGGGUUUCUCAUUUUUCAUUUUUUGGGCAGGCGGGAAAUAGCUAUCCGUUUGUCAGUCAAUUCCUGUUACUGCGUAUGAUAACGGAAUGAUUGAAAAUGGUGCAUUAUAUUGCCUAGCAACCUUGAGAAAGCUUCAGAGUUUUUCUUGAUAUGCUAUUUGGUUUCAUCAUCAUCAGUAGGAUGGGCUUUUCGAAGGCUCCCUGCUU
rnacentral:lncRNA from 1 species